rnacentral:lncRNA from 1 species
GAUGAGCUUAAAUGUAUGCGAUGAAAAGGUUCAAGUUUGGGGUUGUAUGGGGAAAAUAGAAAAGCAAUUGUGAAGCAUUGAGCUCAAAUGUUGUGAAAAGAAAAAAAUUCAAAAGAAAAAGAAAAGAAAAGAAGAAAAGCAUGAAGAGGAGCUCAAUGAAAAAACAAAAAAGAAAAGGGGUAAAAGUUGGGAAUGAGUGAGAUUGGUAAGAAAGAGAGUUGUGCUUAAAUUGUUGAAUAUUUUUAUAGCUCUUUUAACUCAAGGACUUUGUAUUCCGGAAAAACCAAUUUUUCUUGUUAGCCCAACCUCAUUACAAGCCUUGAAAAGUCCUUUUGAUGGCAUUUGCAUGUAAAGAUGUUGAUUGUUUGAGAUGAAUGACAAUUUUGUUUCAUGUGACUUGUGAACAAUAGAGAGUUGGAGUGUCACCUUAAACACUUGAGUGAUUGAGUGAAACACUUGCUUGGUAU